rnacentral:rRNA from 1 species
UACGUAGGGGGCAAGCGUUGUCCGGAAUUAUUGGGCGUAAAGAGCUCGUAGGCGGUUUGUUGCGUCGGCUGUGAAAUCCCGAGGCUCAACCUCGGGUCUGCAGUCGAUACGAGCAAACUAGAGUGUUGCAGGGGAGACUGGAAUUCCUGGUGUAGCGGUGAAAUGCGCAGAUAUCAGGAGGAACACCGGUGGCGAAGGCGGGUCUCUGGGCAACAACUGACGCUGAGGAGCGAAAGCGUGGGGAGCAAACAGG